rnacentral:tRNA from 1 species
GCCCCGAUAGUAUAAACGAUUACCCUGGUCUUGUAAACCAGUAAUGAAAAAAUAUUUUCUCGGGACA